rnacentral:lncRNA from 1 species
GAGAUUCUUGCAUCAUAGAGCUUCUGGUCCAAAGAGGACACCAAAAAUGCCAAGUGAGUCCCGUGUUUGGAAAAUGCAUUUCUGAUGUUAUCCCAACAUGAUAUAAAUCUCAUAAAUCAUCAAGAAACACUAACCCUCAAGAAAUUGGUGAAAACAAAUCUAAUUUUUUGCUAAACUCAAGCCAUAGGUGAAUUUGCGGUUUAGGGUCAAAAAUUAAGAAAUUCAUAAAUAAAGUGUUGAAAUCUUACCAUAAACUAAGUGAAAUCUUACCAUAAUCUAAGUGAAAAUUAUGAUAAUUGAUUUAUAGGUAUCUCCCAAGUCACCCACAAUGAUCAAUUCUGAGUUAAUACACUCAUUAUGGGGUUUCUAGGUCUAAACGAUGAAGGGGAAAUGCCCCAAACGCAUCUUAGGGUCUAUAUAUAGCCCCUAUAGGUAAGGAAAUAUUGGUAUUGCAUUCCUACCAGCCAUGGUCACACUAUCAUGACCUUCAUAUUAUUUGCUGCGAUUAUGGUUGCUCCCCUGGGUACUAGAUGACAGAAAAAUCCAAAUUAUGAUUUUAGCCCUCGUAAUUCAUUUGGAAUCCAAAGAACAUGAUCCAAUAGUGAGUUUUCAAUGUAAACAACAUUUCAAAUCAAUUGUAGUAAUCAAAACGUAAAUCCAAGAAUGUUUACGCAAUUAUGGGCCCACACCUAUGGUUUUAUUUUUCAUCAAACCCGCUCAAUACUCCAAAAUAGGUUUGGAAGCCUUGGGACCUUAACCAAGGGUCCAGUUAACGAAAAUCAAAAAUUUUGAUUCAAUAAACAAGUCAAAUUAUUCAUACGAGGUCAUUUUGACCAACUAUGGAUUCCAUACCCGUAUUUCUAUUUUUCAACUUUCCGACAAAUAGGUCGAACUGAGCUUGAGUGCAUUAGAACCCGAAUCAAAGGUCUGCCAAGCCUAAAAUCAAUAUCCUAGAUCUACUGGAGUAGUCGGAAAUUGCAUCCGAGAUUGUUUCAUUGAUGAUUUUUCCCGAUGGACAUUAGGAACAAACGAAGAAUUCAAAACACCAAAUUGGCUCUAAAAACCAAACAAACUACCCGAUAACUGAACUGUCAAUUCGAGCUAGCCAUAAAUCACUCGGGGAAGCUAUGGACAAGGUCAAAUUGAGAAGAUAAUAGAAAAUAUGAAAAAUGUCUAGAAGGGUCAUUAUAAUAUCCACUACUAAAAGGACUUUAAUACCCAAAAGUGAACAGAUCGAAAGAAUCUGAAAAGCUCAAACAGAUAAGGUACUAGGCCUUCAUACUCCAAACAUGACUUCCCAGUUAACCUCAACAAAGAGAGAUCAUUUGCAAGGGAUUUUGGAAAAAUUAACUCUUCUUAACCAAUACUCUAAUUCUACUUCCAAACAAUUAAAAUUUAACUUGACCACUAAUUGGCGUCAAACUUAACCAAGAAGGUCGAUGCACAUAUAUCUGAGCAAUAACUCACUGAUACGAUCUCUAUAUCCAGAUAAAUCAACAAAGACUUAUCUGAGCCAAAGCUAACCCAUGUAACGAGUCAUGCCACUAAAUCCAAAUCCAAAUACACAUUCUCUUUACCAUUUUGCACUUUCUAUACACUCCAAGCCAAGAGGAAAAUAACCUGAGUCUCACCCACACAGUCUCAUCAUGGAGGACUGAAAGAACUGAUGAUGACCCACUGAAAGUCCAUAUGGUAAAUAUAAGAAUAAGCCCAUAAGAAGUUGUCAGGGUACACAAAUAAAGAUAAUCAAGUAAGGUAAUCUAUGCCAUUACUAUAAAUAAUUAGGAUGGUAAUCAAAUUAAAAAUUAAGGGAUUAGUGCAAAACUACUUCUCAUUGAAUAUUUCGUUCCAGGAUAUCUGAUAAACUGAGAAAGAAUCCAUUUUGAAUCCAACUCAAGUAUAUUACUACCAUUGAGUAAGUCUAAAACAUCUGAAAGACAAUAGGAGACUCAUGGUCAAAUCUGAAAAAAACCAAGACCGAGUCCAUGGGCUAUCAUCUGAAUAUAUCAACCAUAUUUAAUCUAAAGUAGAGGAAACCAAAUAGGUAAUUCAUGGAGUAGGAUCAACUAACCUAUAUAUAAAAUCUGAACAAAGGAAAGUCUAAAAAAAAUAUAAAAUCUCAAUACCAUCGUUGAAUCUCUCAAUCUCAAGUGUCUAAAUAAAAACUAAAAUUGGGUAGGCAUUAAUGCUAUAUGUUUAUCAUAACUUCCAAAUCUCCAUUCAAAGGUAUGAAUUCAAAACUAAACCAAUAAGCCUAUAUUACUAACACUCAUUCAAAUCAACUUUAGUAUAAAAAUUUAACAUAUCUUAGACAAAUCAUAACAUGCCACAGUCAAGACAUAUCUCAAAAACAAAAACAACUACAGGGAUAAUCGUCGACAAAAAUGCAAGCAACUAACUCUAUAUUAGCUGGAGGGUAUGAAAUAUAGCCACUAAAUAGAAAUCAUACAAAAAGACAAAUCACUGGCUAAAAAUGCGUAUAACCCACUCUAUAUCCGCUGGAGGGCUUGAACUUUAAAAAUAUCGCAGGGAUGGAAACCACACUAGUAUUGGCAAAACUCUAACAACUCAGAGAAAUACAACUACAACUAACAACUAAUCAAUAUAACACUCCAUGUCAGCAAAGAGUAGCAACAGGCACAUAUCAUUAAAUAUUGAAAUAAGAAUUUCCUGAGACCACCCAUGUGGGACAAACAUAACUCAAACUAACCUUGAAUUUCAUCAUCGAAGAAGAAUAUACUAGUCUAAAAAUCGUGGUCGAUGUCAAGACCAUCACCAAAAAAAUUAAACAAUUCAGGAUAAAGAAUUUUAAAUUUUCCAACAUAAGAAGCGAUAAUAAGAAAGGCCACCUUCUUUUAAAUUUCCAACACCACUAGAAAAAUCCAUGUCAAAUCAAGAAAGGAGUAUCCAAUCUCAACACUAAUAAUAAGGGUAAACCAUCCCAAGGGAACAAACUCAACAAAUUUAAGAGAAGAAUCCACGACAUCUAAAUUUCAAAACUAGUAUCGAUUGAUAAAAUAGUCAUGACUUAAGAAGGAACCUCAAUUGGUCAAUCUCAUACAUGGGCUAUGUCAAAAAUGAUAGCAAAAGCAAAAACCUUUGCAGCACAGGAGGUACGUUUAAGGGUUUCAAACUCAAAAAUGGGUGAUAGAACCAUACUAAACAGGCUGUACCAAAAUAAAUAUCAAUAUCAUAUACCACUCAAGGGCCGGAAUAAUGUGCCAAGAUAAACGGGACUCUAGUAAGAAAAAAAACUACACACAUAGGGAAAAUACUAAUACUAAUCUACUGAAUUAACUACUAAAAAAAACAAACAAAGAAAUCGUAACAUAAUCAUGAAUUCAAUAAUAAGGCACAUAAUGACCUAUAUCAACUAAUCAUGGCAUAUAAUUAUCAAUGGGUAUGAAAACCCCAAUACACAUAAUAAAAGAUAAAUGUUGGAAAUAAAAGCAUACCAAUUGUGGUGACAUCUGCAAUUGCAUACCUGACGGGCAUAGGGAAAAAUAAAUUUACAUGGGUUCAACUCAGGCUGAUCGACUGAGCCUUCAACUAAGGUUCCGCAAAUACUAUCUCUAACUAAAGAUUCUAGAAUAUCAUGAGGUUGAUCUAAAUAAGCUUAAUGACUUGAAAUCUCAUAUUGGGGACACUCCCUAGACUAGUAGUUGUUUUCAUUAUAGUCGUAGAAACUCCUUAAUCAUCAAUAUGGAGAGAACACAAAUUGCGGCCAAAUUGCUAGCCAAUUAAUGUUGAGCGAAAUCCACAAAAUUAUUCCUGUACUUCCAAAACCAAAUCCUGCCUCAGGAACUGUAGGUUGGCGAGGAAUACAUGUUAACUCUAGCUAAAAAUCUUUCUCAAACUAGGGGAAUUGUCAGAACCAGUGUCUUAUCAUGAUAAAACCAGACCAAAAUCUUUGAAUACUUUGAGAUACUACCCCCAUAAUCAAUAAUGGUUGCCAUGGCUCAAAGAACGAUGCCACACACUACAAGUCUGAUAUGCACUCUGCCCCACUAUGAUUCUCAUGACUAAUCGUAUAACUACUUAUAGUAUGGAAUACUAUCUGCAUAGAGCUGAUGGGCUGUAGGUGAAGUUGAAAUCUUCCAAAAGAAUCCUCAAUCUUAGAUAAAAUACUGAUAGAACUAUACUGAUCACAUGCCUCUUGUUGCCAUUUUCAUAAGUCUCAAUACUUGUGCUUUUAAUGGUACUCUCAUAAUCAGUAUCCUAAUAGAAGGAUGAUUCACCUACUAUCUAGUGCUUCGAUACCAAACAGAGUGACAAUACUAACACUCUAACAUAUCCAUGCGCCAAUGUCUAUCUCAAAAGGGUGUAGCAUAGAAAAAUGCCUGGAGCAUAUGAGAAAUCAAAUCUCAUACUCAAAACUUGUAAAAAAAACCCUGGGUAACAUCAACAGACAAAAAUUUGGUCUGAGAACUGCUCGAUAAAUCAAACGUCAUACAUGGGUAAGAGGGAUCUACAACAUGAAUUGAAUUCCUAAUGCUGAAUAUCAAACGCUGAAGUUGUCAUGGGCUUUACUAAAGCCUAAGCUAGACCAUAUCAUUUUUGGUUGCCACUAAAGAUCUUUGAUAUCCAUCUCUAACUCUGUAGUCUCAUGUUGUAUUGAAACUCUUGAAAUCCAUAUUGAAGUGUCGUGUAUAUCUAUCAACCAUGUAACAACAUUCUUCAUGGAUAGAAUAGAGUUAAAUAAUGUGUUCGAAGUUCCUAGAAAUGCGAGCACAUGAUUAGGAGUCAAGAAGUGAAUUUAAUAAAAUCUCAAUGUAGCCUCUCAAAGAUAGGUUCUAGAUUACUUCGCACUGAUCCUCGGGACUCGACUAAACAUUUAGCUCUAAUACUAAUACACUUAUGAAAUCUAAGUUCUGAUACCAAUUUGUCAAGACCCAAUUUCUCAGGUCCUGAUGGCACCUACCAUAGCCCACCAGUUGGCAAGACAACCCAUUAUCUAGAAUAGCUAGUAAUAGACUACUUAAUCAUAUAUAUGUAAGAGAGUGCAGAAUAAUUUAAAAUAAAGAUCAAUAAUUAGUAAAACCUCAAAACCUGGUGGUAUCAGUACAAGAUCUUCGAAUAUAAUAAGAGUAUAAAAGUGAUACAUCAAGAGAAAUACACUGAUACAACUUAUCUUUGAAUAAAAUAUAUUUAUUUGUUUAAUACAUAAAAGAGAGAUAAGUAAUACUCUUAAUGUCAGGAGCUCACUUAAAGUUAGUGGAAGUAUAGUAUGAGUACUAAAUGAAUGGUACUCAUUAGGCAACUACCAAUGGAUCUCCUAAGACAAUAAAGAUAAAUACAAUAGAUUAAAAAAAUGCAAACUAGAGCUAACAGUCCAUAAAUAAAAUAAUAGGUCAAUGAGAAUUAUAAGGGACAACUAUUCUUUUCAUGUAUAUGAAACUCACAUAAUAAGGACAGGGAAGUAUAAAGGUGAACUAUACUAUUUCAUGCUCAUACAAUAGACGUCAAUACUAUAGUGUAUAUCAUUAGAAAAUAUAAGAAUGAAGAGUGAAUGAAUGAUACAUAUAAAUAUACAAGGCCAAGAAAUGAAUAUACUAUAUGAACAAAUGAAGGAAGGGAUAUAUAGUAGAUACAUUUCUUCUAAUAGCUAUAUCUAAAUACUUACAUACAUAAAAACAUGAGAUCAUGUUGAAGGAUAACCUAGAUAAUCAUAUCUCAUUCUAUGACCUCAUUAUAAUACUAUCAAUGUUUAAUACUAUAUGCAUAGGGUUCCUAAUCCACAUGGCCAGACAUGAAAUAAUAGUGCAUACUAAUGCAAUUAUAAAAUAGAAGAGGACAUAGACAUACAUCAAAUCUUGAUACUAUAACAAUGACCAAUCUUUCAUAAGCUAGCCAUAAUAAAGAUCAUAACAAUGAUAUUAACAAUAUCAAUGACAACAUAAAUAAUCGACUACAUAAAAAAACCAAAUACCUAGCUGAUCCUAUAUGUACCCCUAUCACCCCCGGCUUGGAAGGUUCAAUAAAUGUAAAAUAACAUAAUGAAUAGUAUUCACCCAUAUCUAUGUAUGUUUCACAUACCGAUUGAUCGACAUAGGUGCAUACUGGUAAUAAGCGAUGUCCAUGCAGGAAUGAAUACAAGGUACACAAUAAAUAUCACAAUAUUAUCAUCAUAACUAUCUCUAUCAUAACUAUCAUCAUCAUUUCUAUCAUAAACAUAAUAAACAUCCAACCUUGCUGGGUAUUAAUAUGUCAUCACAAUAUCCUCUAUCCUUGUCGAUUAUCAACAUAUCAUCACCGUAUCCUCUGGCCUUGUAGAUCAUCACUAUAUCAUCAUAGUAUUCUCUGGCAUUUCUAGUUAUCAAUAUAUCAUCACAAUAUUCUCUGACCUUGUCGGGUAUAAAUAUAUCAUCACAAUAUCCUCUAACCUUCUCGAGUAUCAAUAUAUUUAUAUACAUCAAUACACAUAUUUAUAGAUAUAUAAUAGGUGCACGGGCUCAUAACGUGGCUAAAAGAAGGGUGAAUCUACAAGCCUAUUUCCCAGAGUGAUCUCUGUAAAUAAUCAUUUUAAAAGUGUAGGAAGUGUUAGAAUAUCCCAUGACUGAAGUAUGUGAUAUAGUUUAAUCAUAGAGAUAACCUCUAAUUACUAUCCGAACCAUUACUUCAUGUAACCAUGAUUCUCUAAAUUGCGAAUAUCUACCAACUACUAAAGAUUCUCCACAAGACCAUAAUUUCCAAUUAACAAAUGUUCAUUUCUAACAAUCUUAAUCUCACUAGUCACUGUCUAGCAAAAGCCAACUAGCCAUUACACAAAACCUUUUUUAUCUAUCCACUAACAUCUCUUAUUAUAUAGCAUUAUUAAUUCACAAAUCCUUGUUUAACAACUAAUCGACAUCUUAAACUUAGUCAUGCAUAGAAACUAAUCUUCAACAAUGCUAAAACUUUCAUAAUCAUUAGCCAUGUAACAGCCAUAAUUGCUAUCUACUAUACCUAAACUAGAAAAUUUUCAUUAACUAGUGAGUUAGAUUUCUAACCAUCAAGUACUACAGUCACUUAAUAGGCAACAAGUUCCAACUUACCCUAAACCAUAUUUUGGAAGAACAGUCAUAUGAUCGUAUUUCAGCUGAAAUCACAUCACGUACAUAAAUAAUAAUAAUAAAAAAUGUAUCAAAUCUAUACAUUUCAUAACAAAUAUUAAAUCGGCAAAAUAAUAAGAGUCAUACCAUAUUUUACUUCGUCCCAUAUAGAAAAGAUGUGUAUUUGAACAUAUAUAUAUAUAUAUAUAUAUAUUCAUUAACUGUAAGCUCAUCCUUUAAAUUGAUAAACACUUAUUGAAUGUUUAAUAGAUGUCAUAACAUAUCCUUUGUCCCAAUAAAUACUCUGAACAUCAUAAACACAAUGUUAGGCCAACGUACGUAUCUGAAACUUAUAUUAGUAACUUAUAUGCUCUCUAUAGGAUCGUAAUAAUUAUUAAAGGAAAAAUCAUCUCUAAGGACCCAAUGUUAUGUCUAAGAGAAAAUAGCAUUUCUAUGAGCCAAAUAGCAUGUCUAAGAGGAAAUUGCAUCUCUAUGGGCCAAAUAUCAAGUCUAAGAGAAAAUAGCAUCUCUAUGGGCUAAAUAUCAAGUCUAAGAGAAAAUAGUGUCUCUAUAGGCCAAAGAUCAUGUCAAAAAGGAAGUAGCAUCACUAUAGGUCCAAACAUCAUUAUUCGGAGAAAAAUCCAUCAUUAUUCGAUAAGCCACAAGGUAACCUUAUACUAAGGUUUGCGUACCUCUACUAUGCCUAACAUUCGUAACUAAGUCCACAAGGCUAAAAUAAUUCUUGGCCUAAGUGGUCCAGAGAAUCACUCUUCAAAUCCUCAAUUUGAAUAACUAGAUACACUAUGCCUAAACUAAGCUAAGGUAUAUGGUGUACUUCUAGAUAUGAAGUAAGCCAUACUCAAGCCUAAGAUAGGAACUUUGAAUAGAACAAGGGCAUUCAAGUAAACUCUACCCAAAUUACUAUUUAAAUACCAUUACACUAGCCCAAUAAGAUUAAAUAUACUAAUCAUACAUCCAACACUUAAACUACAUCCCAAACCUAGCAUUACAUCGUAUCCAUACUAUAAAUUAAUCUAAAUUAGGGAAAUGUAAUAGGAUUCUAAAAGUUUAUAAACAUACCAUCUUAAAGAUCCAAAACCCUCAUCUAAUCCCUAAACAAAAAUAAACAAGGCUAAGUUAUUCUACUCAUAAACAAGCCUAACAUCUGAAUUCACACGCAAUAUAUAUCACAUGACAUCUAUAAAAAAUACUGGAUAUGAUCCUACCUUAAAACCUCACUAUAUUCACCAAAGUCCAUCUUCACUUUACAAUCCAAAAAUGCCAUCACACUACAAAAAUAAUAAUCUAGUCAUUAAUGUGAGUCUAAUGAUACCCAUAUUGACUCAUUGUUAUUUAGGUCCAAAAACAUCACAAAAAUUAAUAAGUGGGUCGUAAUGAAAAGGCAUGCUCCGAGGUAAACCCAACAUGAUAUCAAGCUCAGAAAUCAUCAAGGAACCAUAACCCUAAAAAAUGUGGAAAAUAAAGCUAUUUUUUUGCAAAAAUUAAUCCCUAGGUGAAUUUGGGGUUUUGGAUAUAAAAUCAAGAAAUUCAUAAAUAAAGUGAUGAAAUCUUACCAUAAUGUAUGUGGAAAUAAUGAUAAUAGAUCUUUAGCAAGCUCCCAGGUCACCCACAAUGAUUUAUUUGGAAUUAUUACACUCAUUUUUGGGUUUGUAGAUCUAAAAAACUAAGGGAAAAUGCCCUAAAUGCAUCAUGGGGUCUAUAGAUAGAUCCUACAUGUAAGAAGAUGUUAUCUCCAUUCAAUUUUCCAUGAUCGCAGUUG